rnacentral:rRNA from 1 species
ACGAACGCUGGCGGCGUGCCUAAUACAUGCAAGUAGAACGCUGAAGAGAGGAGCUUGCUCUUCUUGGAUGAGUUGCGAACGGGUGAGUAACGCGUAGGUAACCUGCCUUGUAGCGGGGGAUAACUAUUGGAAACGAUAGCUAAUACCGCAUAACAAUGGAUGACACAUGUCAUUUAUUUGAAAGGGGCAAUUGUUCCACUACAAGAUGGACCUGCGUUGUAUUAGCUAGUAGGUGAGGUAAUGGCUCACCUAGGCGACGAUACAUAGCCGACCUGAGAGGGUGAUCGGCCACACUGGGACUGAGACACGGCCCAGACUCCUACGGGAGGCAGCAGUAGGGAAUCUUCGGCAAUGGGGGCAACCCUGACCGAGCAACGCCGCGUGAGUGAAGAAGGUUUUCGGAUCGUAAAGCUCUGUUGUAAGUCAAGAACGGGUGUGAGAGUGGAAAGUUCACACUGUGACGGUAGCUUACCAGAAAGGGACGGCUAACUACGUGCCAGCAGCCGCGGUAAUACGUAGGUCCCGAGCGUUGUCCGGAUUUAUUGGGCGUAAAGCGAGCGCAGGCGGUUUGAUAAGUCUGAAGUUAAAGGCUGUGGCUCAACCAUAGUUCGCUUUGGAAACUGUCAAACUUGAGUGCAGAAGGGGAGAGUGGAAUUCCAUGUGUAGCGGUGACAUGCGUAGAUAUAUGGAGGAACACCGGUGGCGAAAGCGGCUCUUUGGGUCUGUAACUGACGCUGAGGCUCGAAAAGCGUGGGGAGCGAACAGGAUUAGAUACCCUGGUAGUCCACGCAGUAAACGAUGAGUGCUAGGUGUUGGAUCCUUUCCGGGAUUCAGUGCCGCAGCUAACGCAUUAAGCACUCCGCCUGGGGAGUACGACCGCAAGGUUGAAACUCAAAGGAAUUGACGGGGGCCCGCACAAGCGGUGGAGCAUGUGGUUUAAUUCGAAGCAACGCGAAGAACCUUACCAGGUCUUGACAUCCCGAUGCUAUUUUUAGAGAUAGAAAGUUACUUCGGUACAUCGGUGACAGGUGGUGCAUGGUUGUCGUCAGCUCGUGUCGUGAGAUGUUGGGUUAAGUCCCGCAACGAGCGCAACCCCUAUUGUCAGUUGCCAUCAUUCAGUUGGGCACUCUAGCGAGACUGCCGGUAAUAAACCGGAGGAAGGUGGGGAUGACGUCAAAUCAUCAUGCCCCUUAUGACCUGGGCUACACACGUGCUACAAUGGUUGGUACAACGAGUUGCGAGUCGGUGACGGCGAGCUAAUCUCUUAAAGCCAAUCUCGGUUCGGAUUGUAGGCUGCAACUCGCCUACAUGAAGUCGGAAUCGCUAGUAAUCGCGGAUCAGCACGCCGCGGUGAAUACGUUCCCGGGCCUUGUACACACCGCCCGUCACACCACGAGAGUUUGUAACACCCGAAGUCGGUGAGGUAACCUUUUGGAGCCAGCCGCCUAAGGUGGGACAGAUGA